rnacentral:lncRNA from 1 species
UGAUGAAAUUAUAUUCAUAUUUAUUAUUUUUUUCUAUGUGAAUUUGAAUACGCAUAUAUAUAUAUAUCGGAUGUUAAAUUUUGAUUACCAUAUCUAUAAUGUUAAAAUUUUAUUACCAUAUCUACUAAAAAUGAAUUAGAAUAUAAUUGAAUAUUUUUUCGGAUUCGGAUAUGGAUCUUAUUUGUAUUUGAAUAUUAUUCGGAUAAUAAUAUAUUCUAAUAUACGCAUAUGAAUAUGAACUAGAAUUAACAAUAAUAUAAUUAAAAAUUUCACAUUCUUGUUCAAAUUUUUAUAUACCUAUAUAUAUUUUAUUGAAUAAUAUCUAAGAUUUAACACCGACUGUCCCUAGAGCAAGUGGCAAAGGGCUUGGUGGUUAAUACCCGAGACCCAAGUUCGAAUCCUAGUUGAUUCACAUUUCUAGCUAAGUUUAUUUCUAAAUGAAAUAAACGAAGCAGGUAGCGUGCUACCUAUCUCUCAAAAAAAAAAAAAAAUCUAAGAUUUAACAAAUACAAAUAUAAUUUCAAAACUCAUAAUAAACUGAAGAAAAUGCAUAAUAAACCAGCAAUCAAACCCCAAAGUAUAAUUCAAAUCCAAAUUUAUAAUUAUAAUUAUUCUAAGUUUAAAUUUAAAUAUAUAUUUGAAUUUAAAUUAUUAUUAUUAUUGAAUUUUAAUAAUAAUUU